AAUUAAAUUAAAUUUCAGUUACACAAUGAAUAUUUUUUAGUAUAAAUAUGUCCCAUGCAAUAUUUGGGACAUACUUACACUAAAAACUACAUGCUUAU
rnacentral:miRNA from 1 species